rnacentral:rRNA from 1 species
GAAUUUGCCGCUCUCAUGACCUCUAAGUUCAAGAUUUCCAUGAUGGGAGAGUUGAAGUUCUUUCUCGGGUUCGAAAUCAAACAAAGAAGAGAAGGAACCUUAAUCAACCAAGCAAAAUACACUCAAGACAUGCUCAAGAGAUUCAAGCUAAGUGAUGUCAAGCCGGCUUCCACUCCAAUGCCCGUCAAAUGCCAACUUGACACUGAUCCCAAUGGUAAAGCGGUGGAUCAAAAGGUAUAUCGUUCCAUGAUUGGCUCCUUGCUUUACCUUUGUGCAUCUAGACCGGAUAUCAUGUUGAGUGUGAGAAUUUGUGCAUGGUUUCAAACCGCGCCUAAGGAAAGCCAUUAUGUGGCGGUCAAGCGAAUCUUUCGAUAUUUGGCUCAUACCCCAAACUUUGGAUUAUGGUACCCAAGAGGAGCUAACUUCAACCUUUUGGGCUAUUCAGACUCAGAUUGGGGAGACAAAGUGGAUAGGAAGUCAACC